rnacentral:rRNA from 1 species
AAAAUCGAGCGGCAGCGACUUAACUGAACCUUCGGGGAACGUUAAGGGCGGCGAGCGGCGGACGGGUGAGUAAUGCCUGGGAAUAUGCCCUGAUGUGGGGGAUAACUAUUGGAAACGAUAGCUAAUACCGCAUAAUCUCUUCGGAGCAAAGAGGGGGACCUUCGGGCCUCUCGCGUCAGGAUUAGCCCAGGUGGGAUUAGCUUGUUGGUGAGGUAAUGGCUCACCAAGGCAACGAUCCCUAGCUGGUCUGAGAGGAUGAUCAGCCACUCUGGAACUGAGACACGGUCCAUACUCCUACGGGAGGCAGCAGUGGGGAAUAUUGCACAAUGGGGGAAACCCUGAUGCAGCCAUGCCGCGUGUAUGAAGAAGGCCUUCGGGUUGUAAAGCACUUUCAGUAGGGAGGAAGGCAGUGUCGUUAAUAGCGGCAUUGUUUGACGUUACCUACAGAAGAAGCACCGGCUAACUCCGUGCCAGCAGCCGCGGUAAUACGGAGGGUGCGAGCGUUAAUCGGAAUUACUGGGCGUAAAGUGCAUGCGGCGGUCUGUUUAGCAAGAUGUGAAAACCCGGGCUCCACCUCGGAACAGCUUUUUGAACUGGCAGACUUAAGUCUUGUAGAGGGGGUAGAAUUUCGGUGUGCGGUGAAAUGCGUAGAGAUCUAAAGAAUCCGGUGGCGAA